CCCCCACCCCGCUCCUCCCCGGGCUCCGGCCCGGGAUCCCUCGCUGCUCCCGGCGGCCUCCGCCGGCUUCCCGGUCCACCCGCCGCGGAACGGACGGGACCCGGGGUCCGCGCCCUUCCCCUCCCCCCACGGGGGGCUGGGUCGCGGACCCCGGUUCCUAGGCUCGUUCCGCGGUGGGCGACCGGGGAUCCCCCACCCAGCUCCCUCCCCGGGCUCCGGCCCGGGAUCCCUCGCUGCUCCCGGCGGCCUCCGCCGGCUUCCCGGUCCACCCGCCGCGGAACGGACGGGACCCGGGGUCCGCGCCCUUCCCCUCCCCCCACGGGGGGCUGGGUCGCGGACCCCGGUUCCUAGGCUCGUUCCGCGGUGGGCGACCGGGGAUCCCCCACCCCGCUCCUCCCCGGGCUCCGGCCCGGGAUCCCUCGCUGCUCCCGGCGGCCUCCGCCGGCUUCCCGGUCCACCCGCCGCGGAACGGACGGGACCCGGGGUCCGCGCCCUUCCCCUCCCCCCACGGGGGGCUGGGUCGCGGACCCCGGUUCCUAGGCUCGUUCCGCGGUGGGCGACCGGGGAUCCCCCACCCAGCUCCCCUUCCCGGCUCGCCCCGCUGGCUUUUGGGCCCCUCCGGGCUUUUUUUCCGGCUGGGGGUCGCGGCGGCCGGCCGACGACGGUAGGUGGGCCGGGCGGACGGUGGUGGGGACGGGCGACGCCCCGGCUCGACGGCAGUCGGCCCCGGAGGGUUGGGGGCUGGGGGCCCGGUCAGGAGCUCCGGGAGCGGGGUCGACCGCGACGGCUUCCGGGUCUCGCGGCGGCUCCCUCUCGGCGGCUCCGGUUGGGCUCCCCUCCCCCCUCUCGAGGGUCCGGUCGCCGGUUGUGGUCGGGGGUCCCUCGGCCUAGCCGCCGGCUCUCGGUCCGCCUUACCCUGGGCGUUGGCCGGUCCCGUGACGCUCCCCUCCCCCGCUGCUCCCCAAAAACUCCGCCCGAACCGUCGCGGUUUGCUGGCCCUGGGCGUGGUCUCCCCACUCCCCUCCCCCCAUCGGCCGCCCAGCCGGGGUCGGCGCCUCGGACCCCACCAGGCUGUGGCGUGUGUGCUGGCCGAUGCGGCGGCGAGGUUGGGUGUGGCCGGAAGCGCUCGGGGUCGACGGUGGGCCGCCAUGACACCUCAAUUGCCGUCAGUACGCCCCUCCACAAUCACCGUCCCCACACGAUGGGCCCGGCAGUUCACCCAACGUUGGUUCAGGCCCAGUCGGGUUUUUCCCCGGUACGAACGCACGUCCCCGUGGGCUCCACGCGUUUUCCACCCUUUCCUGGAGGGGUCCGGAACACCGUGAAUCCACGGGGAGGGUCCCGGCACGGGCCGAGGAGACCACGACCGUCCCACCCGGCGUGUCGACUCGUCCGAGACCCGGGAAGGGAACAGGCCCCACCUUUUUUCCCUUCUCCGAUUUGCCGUGGAAAACCCGUGAACCGAUACGGGUGCAGACGGCCGAAAAAAUUCGAGACGGCAAUACGACGGCAGGGCGUGAUUUUCUCCCCCACCCGACAAAACCGUGUCCCUCAAAAUUCCCCACCUUUCUCUGUUCAAAUGGCCCCGAAACUGUAAAACACCGUUUGACCGCACCCCAACCGGCGCCAUCUUGGUGACCUUCUCGACGGUUCUCUCGCUCGUCAUGCCGUUCUGAGCUCCGACAUGGCGGACGAGAGAAAAUGGCGUCGAGAGCCGAGGAGCGUUUUCGCUCCAGGCGGGUAAAAAAAUAGCACGAUAACUUUUCUGUGCUUUUUUGAGACGUUUUUGAAGAGCUUUUUUUCUGCUCAGAGCGAAAAAAUGAUAGCCCUGAAAAUCUCGACGAGUCUGGCCGAGCGGCGCCAUCUUGGAGGAGGGGCGAGUCGCGGGCACCGCCUCGGUACCCCCUGGCCGAGGCGAGUCCGCGGUCGCCGCCUGUUCCGUGAUGCUACCUAGAGGGCGCCGUCGAGGCGACUCUUCCUGUUUUCGCCCUGAGGGCUAACGGUCGCUGACGUCAAACCAUCUCGUGCUCGCUGAGUCACAUCCGGUUGUUGACAAGCGAUGGAGGACCGCACCCAAAGUGCGCCCUCUAGUCAUCGCGCCUGACCCCUUUUAUAAACUGCUCGAAGAAAAGAACACCUUAUGUGAAAAAAUACAGAAUGAUGACAAGUUCAUUCAACACAACCGCUCAACAACGCCAUAUCUAUCAGUGUCCAAAAACUAUCUUCUAUCCUUUGAAACUAUAAAUGCUGCCUAUAUACAUAUUUAGUAUCCAAGACUCUUACCACGUAGACGAAAAGAAGUGAUACAAUGAUCUUGACGUGUAUCGUCUAUAUCGUGCUAGAUAUAUUCAGAUAAGACGCGCAAACCAUAGAUUUCUCAUCAGUAUCAUGAAAGACCUAUAGCUCUAUAUACGAACCUAGUCAUUUUAGGACAGCCGCCGGAGAAGCCGACGAGGGAUCGGGCGGGUGCAGCCAGAACCUCACGCCCGAUCCCGCCUCCGGUAGGCGAUUUGCAUCUGUUUGGUAAAAAGCUCAUAAGUCUGUAUGUGACCUAUAUAUAUAUUAUACGCUAUGUACACCGAACUGUCGCUGUUGUAUAAGAAGAAAAAACUCUCCAUAUUUAUAUCGUCUGAAUUUUUGCUUGAUAGACACGUGUUUGGAACUCUGUCCCCCCACGUUUUCACUGUGUAUAACAAAAAUAUGUGUUUCUCAAAAGAUCUUGAGGUGUUUGAAAACGGGGGAAACCUGCGUUUGGGUGCGCUAAGCCCCGGACUGGGACGUAGCCGGCGUCCGGCACCUAUAUUUUUCUAUUUUUUUUUUACAAAAUAUAUGAUGAACCAAGAAUAAAACUCUAGCUCUCGUCUAUUUUUAAUAUGCUCUACUUAGAACCUUUUUAAUGACAGAAUGAACUCCAUGUUAUACGCUCUUUAUAUAGUUUCUCUGCACUAACCUUUAAAACCGUAUCCUUCCCUGUUGUACAAAUCAUCUUUUGAUACACAAUGAUGACCUGAUAUCCCUCCAUAUAUAUGAUCGGAUAUUAUUCCGUUAGACUUGUCCUCCUUUUUUUUCCUCAUCUCCUGUAUCUGGAGAUAUAUGUUGACCACCACCGCCAUGACCACCAAAAAGCUAGCCGUCACGACUAGAAAUGUGUAGGAUUCGGACUUUCCGUUUGAGAAGAAAGAGACCGCGUCUCUGGACGCUCUUUUUGUCGGUCUGAAUCGACCCGGGAUACGUAAGAGAGCGGCCCUACAUCGGGGGGCGCUCGAGACCGACGACGUUCCAUCUGACCAGAAAAAAAAAGGCACCCCUCGGUGGCGACCUCUCACCAUCGUUUGCCCGUCCGCCCGUCCUUCGUAGCCAUCAUCAUCAUCUCAGGCUCUAUCGGUACCAUCGUUGUCAUCUGAAAAAAAAAACUGCCUCACCCACCUGCGUAAAAACACCAUCUUUCCGGAGGUGCGGUAAGACGGGCAAAUACGGUCGUGCCGAGGCAAAAAAACGCACCAUCGACACCACACCCUCAUGAGCACCACCUGUCGGUGUUGGUCGUCCUCCAUCGUUCUCUACGAACAUCUCGACGCCCGGGUGACGGACGACGGCAAGACGUCCCGGAGAAGACGGUGUUCUCUCGGGCGGUACGCUCUCUGGAUCUAUAAUAUCUAUAGUAGCUAAACGAGACUGUGAGUACGACGAACCACAUCAUCUUUUUUUUAUGUUGCUUCUUUAGAAAAUGACUUAUGUCGACGACACUCGGCAUCAGCCAUCUCGUGAAACACGCUCGCUUUUCGUCUCUCCAAGGAACACUGGGUCCGCUGAAAGGGACCGUGUACCGACCAAAGCAAAAAACACACACGUAGUAACAUGAUCAACCACGUCUGAAUGACACGAAAACACAAUCGUAUAACGCUCUAUUCAUGGAACGAACUUGGAAUAAAAAAACCAUCGCAGGCCAGAGGCUAAGCCGAAACCGUCCGGGGAAGCGGGCGCGAGUUUUCCGACUUAGUCUCUGGUGCUCGUUGAGCCUCUUUUUUUUUUCCUGAUUCUCUGAAGAAUCACCGUCACAGCCCUAUGACGCGAAAUCAAUUGCUAGAACAUAAACGUUCUCAACAGGUAUGAAAUGAACAAACUAGAUGAUGCUAUAACCUUAUAUUGUGUGUAUAUAGAUAGGUGUGAAAUUUGUAGGAUAAAAAGUGUCGUUGUAUGAUGCACAACGAUCGUGAAACUGGAGACUGUAGCUCUCUACCGAAUGCAAAUACACAAAUGACAUCGAUUCCCGUCCCCACAUAAAGAAAUGUGCUUUACUGUGAAAGAAUGAAGAAGAUUCUUGUUCCUCGUACGACGGGGCCCUCGCUCGUCGUGCCUCUUCCCCCCUCCGGGAGAGGGGACGUCGGGGCCCUCCGUCGCACCGGGCCGAAGCCAGUGAAAUGUUUACUACACUGUCAUCAGAAUAUAUGAUGUAUAUUAUUUCCUCCAAACUCCUCACCAUAGCCACCAAUUCGCAUCACUUAAGAAAGUAGUAGCAACCGCGGCGGCGGCGACCGGCCGGUCGUCGUCUCCUCGUCCUCAAAUGUUGUACAUGUGCAGAAAAAUGUGUAAAUACGUGUUAUUUAUCCCAUGCGUCUUGUACAUAGAUAUAUGUUUUUAUAUACGCUAUUUAUACUUUAUAUAUCCUUUUGCAUAACCAUAGACAGUCAAGGAUUUUAAUGAUUUGCUCAUCCGCCUUUGAGCCAUCGCUUAGGAGUUAGUUCCUCUAUGUUCUCGGCCCACCUUUUCGACUACAGUAGCAAACCCUUGUACUACCACCCCGAUAAAAACCACAUCAUCAUCGUCACCACGACCUGGAAACGACACACGUUCCCCCCCAAUCUUGGGCAUGUGUAUAUAUAAAAAGAAUGGGAGGGAGAGGACGUGGGGCUCGAGAAGAAAUAAACGCCAAGCUCGAUUCGAACC
rnacentral:sRNA from 1 species